rnacentral:rRNA from 1 species
GGGCCCGCACAAGCGGUGGAGCAUGUGGUUCAAUUCGAAGCAACGCGAAGAACCUUACCAACCUUUGACAUGCCUCGUAUGGUCGCUGGAGACAGCUUCCUUCCCGCAAGGGGCGAGAGCACAGGUGCUGCAUGGCUGUCGUCAGCUCGUGUCGUGAGAUGUUGGGUUAAGUCCCGCAACGAGCGCAACCCUCGGCCUUAGUUGCCAUCAUUCAGUUGGGCACUCUAAGGCGACUGCCGGUGAUAAGCCGGAGGAAGGUGGGGAUGACGUCAAGUCCUCAUGGCCCUUACAGGUUGGGCUACACACGUGCUACAAUGGCGGUGACAGUGGGAAGCAAUGGAGCAAUCCUGCGCAAAUCUCAAAAAGCCGUCUCAGUUCGGAUUGUGCUCUGCAACUCGAGCACAUGAAGUUGGAAUCGCUAGUAAUCGCAGAUCAGCACGCUGCGGUGAAUACGUUCCCGGGCCUU